rnacentral:rRNA from 1 species
UGUAACCUACGAGGCGCAGCAGUGGGGAAUAUUGGACAAUGGGGGGAACCCUGAUCCAGCGACACCGCGUGAGUGAAGAAGUAUUUCGGUAUGUAAAGCUCUAUCAGCAGGGAAGAAAAUGACGGUACCUGACUAAGAAGCCCCGGCUAACUACGUGCCAGCAGCCGCGGUAAUACGUAGGGGGCAAGCGUUAUCCGGAUUUACUGGGUGUAAAGGGAGCGUAGACGGUGCAGCAAGUCUGAUGUGAAAGGUCGGGGCCCAACCCCGGGACUGCAUUGGAAACUGUUGAACUGGAGUACAGGAGG